rnacentral:tRNA from 1 species
GCAGUAGUGGUUCAUUGGUAGAAUUCUUAUCUUCUGUGCCAGAGACCCAGGUUCAAUUCCUGGCCAAGGCA